AUGACUGCUAAUGGAUUCAAGAUUUCUUUUCAGGGUGAUAAUAUUCUGAAAUUAGGUAGUGUUAUCUGCUGUACAAUUUUGUAAAUGGGUAAAAACCUUUUGAAUUGUAUGCUUUUAAAGUGUUAAUUUUGGGAGUUGCUCUCAUGGCAACGCCUGAUCCUUAACUCACUGAGCAAGGCCAGGGCUCGAACCUGCAACCUCAUGGUUCCUAGUCAGAUUCAUUAACCACUGAGCCACGACGGGAACUCCAGGAUAUUAUUUUUAAACACAGUGAAAUAUAGAUCGUAAUUAGGAAUCAAGGCAAGGAAAAGUUAUAGCUUUUGCAUCAGAAGCCCCAUCCCUGGCCAAUGAGUUAGAUUUUUUGCUAGAGGUAGACCGCUUCACAUACCUGGUACUAAAAAUGAAACGACGGGUGAUGAAAAUAGUCUGAAAACUUUAAUGGCAGACUUCUUUUAAGCUCUGACAGUAUGUGGACUUCAGCUGGCAAGUGUGUUGUGAGAAUGUAAUGAAUCCCAGGAGCAGAGAUAAUCAGUCCCAUCAUCCUCAGCCUUAUUUAAAUGAUGGUUUAUACAGUAACAUGAGCAGCAAGAAAUCUGUUCUCCUCCUCCAGCUGGAAUAGUCACGCUGGGCUGAUCUAUUUAAUAAUUACUGGCUAAAUAUUUACAACAGUGAAUGCCUUUUGUUUGAGAGCUCAGUCAAGAUAAUUAGAAACUAUGAUGAGUUUAUUUCCAGUAGUAACAAAUUGAAAUUCUUGACUUGAGAGAAAGAUAGCUGUAUAUAGUAUAACAUUUUUAUUCAGGCUGGUACCACAUUAGAGCACAGUCCUGAUGGGUGCGAAAUUUUGAAUUCUUCUCAGCCAAGGCUUACUAGCAAGUCAGGGAUGGUUUUCAUUGUUAAUUUAAUGCUGACACGACUUGCAGUGUGCUCUAAAAUGCACUGAAAAUUAUGAAACUGGAACUCAUUAACCAGUAUGUAAAGUCAGCUUUGUAGGAUUAUCAUCUAAUAUUUUAAUUGAAUUUCUUGAGAUUGUAAUUUCAAUUUUGCUCUAUUGAACUCAGUAGAAAAAAGGUAAAACUUUAAAGAUGAUUUAACUUGUUGUAAUGAACUUUUGCAGAAAGAAGCACAUAUUGAAGAGAAUACUAAGAAUAAAGAGGUUGAGUUAUUUCAAAAUAACUUAUACCACAUACUAGCCAGGCAGUAAUGUGUCUUUUAGGACAGUUGCUGGCACUGCAGAGACAGGCCCAGUGUUUUGGCGCCUCACCACAUUCUCUGCUCUCCAGUCGCCUCUUCCUCCAGGGAAUCUCCAAAGUGGCAACUUCUCCUUCAACUUUAGGUAAGCUUAGAGGUCCUCUACUCUCUCUGCAAUGUUCUCUUCACCCCCCAGCCCUCUGGUGUUUGUAAGUCACAUUUCCUAAGUUUGUAGCCUUUAGGUGUGCAAGUGUGUAAGAUAAAAUAUUUAUGUAGAGAAGCACACAAAAGUAUACAGCUUAAAGGUGUACACUUUUUACUCUCUUACUGGUCUCCAUGAAGAAACAUAAUUUUUUUUUUAUUUAAAUGUACUCCAACUUGUCAUCCCUUCUUUUAUAGUUAGUGCUUUGUGUGUUUCUCACCUCAUACAUUUUUUUUUCUCCAAAGUGACGGAGGUAUUAUAAUACUGUCUAAUACUUUCUAAACUCGCCAUUGUGUUUCCUUUUGCAAAUCGUUUUGCCUUUUAAAAUUUAUCUGGAAUUAUUCUUUGUAUCUGUGUUUUUAUAUUUGGUAUAAGACAGAACUCAAUAUUCCAGUCAGAGAGAAUAGCUAGUGUAGACUGAGAUUUCAGGAACUUGCGUCUGAUGAGGAGGAAGCUGCAGCCAGUAAAUGAGGCAAGAAGAAUGAGAAAUGAGCUUGCAGAGGCAGACAGAAGAUUUACUGAAGAUUCAGAUUUACUCUCUAUCAAAUAUUAUAUAUAGGUUUUUAAAGAUAAUAUUUCUAUCUAAAGAUAUACUAGAGAGCUUUCUAGCCCUUGGUAAUAUUUUUUUUUCAUUUUAUUCCAAAUGUAUGGGAAUCUAUUGGAGAGAACAGGCGAGUUGUACUAUAGGAUCUACCUUGUUAAGAAUCACUGACCUGGAGUUCCCGUCGUGGCGCAGUGGUUAACGAAUCCGGCUAGGAACCAUGAGGUCCCGGGUUCCAUCCCUGCCCUUGCUCAGUGAGUUAACGAUCUGGCGUUGCCGUGAGCUGUGGCAUAGGUUGCAGAGGCGGCUCGGAUCCCGCAUUGCUGUAGCUCUGGCGUAGGCCGGCAGCUACAGCUCCGAUUAGACCCCUAGCCUGGGAACCUCCAUAUGCCGCUGGAGCAGCCCAAGAAAUGGCAAAA
rnacentral:lncRNA from 1 species